rnacentral:rRNA from 1 species
CCUACGGGUGGCAGCAGUGAGGAAUAUUGGUCAAUGGGCGCGAGCCUGAACCAGCCAAGUCGCGUGAGGGACGACGGUCCUAUGGAUUGUAAACUUCUUUUGUCGGGGAGCAAAAGACGCCACGCGUGGCGUUCCGAGAGUACUCGAAGAAAAAGCAUCGGCUAACUCCGUGCCAGCAGCCGCGGUAAUACGGAGGAUGCGAGCGUUAUCCGGAUUUAUUGGGUUUAAAGGGUGCGCAGGCGGAAGAUUAAGUCAGCGGUAAAAGGGAGGGGCUCAACCUCUUCGAGCCGUUGAAACUGGUUUGCGUGAGUGGGCGAGAGGUAUGCGGAAUGCGUGGUGUAGCGGUGAAAUGCAUAGAUAUCACGCAGAACUCCGAUUGCGAAGGCAGCAUACCGGCGCUCAACUGACGCUGAGGCACGAAAGUGUGGGUAUCGAACAGGAUUAGAUACCCGAGUAGUC